CCACACAUAAAAAACUUUCCACGUGAACCGUUUCAACCCAAUAGUUGGGGGUCUUAUUUGGCGGCGGCUGCUGGCUUAAUUGUUGGCGGCUGCUGCUGAGUGAGCCCUAUCAAAAAAAAGGCGAACGUUUGGGCUUCGGCCUGAUUUAGUAGUCUUUUUUUCUUUUAAACCCAUUCCUUAAUACUGAAUAUACUGUGGGGACGAAAGUCUCUGCUUUUAACUAGAUAGCAACUUUCAGCAGUGGAUGUCUAGGCUCGCACAUCGAUGAAGAACGCUGCGAACUGCGAUACGUAAUGCGAAUUGCAGGAUUCAGUGAGUCAUCGAAAUUUUGAACGCAUAUUGCACUUCCGGGUUAGUCCUGGAAGUAUGCCUGUAUCAGUGUCCGUACAUUAAACUUGACUUUCUUCCUUCCGUGUAGUCGGUGGAGGAGAUGUCAGAUGUGAAGUGUCUUGCGAUUGGUCUUCGGACCGGCUGCGAGUCCUUUUAAAUGUACUAAACUGAACUUCUCUUUGCUCGAAAAGUGGUGGCGUUGCUGGUUGUGAAGGCUGCUAUUGUGGCAAAUUGGCGACUGGUUUGUCUGCUGCGGCAUUAAUGGAAGAGUGUUCGAUUCGUGGUAUGGUUGGCUUCGGCUGAACAAUGCACUUAUUGGACGUUUUUCCUGCUGUGGCGUGAUGGACUGGUGAACCAUAGCUCGGUGGCUUGGCUUUUGAAUUGGCUUUGCUGUUGCGAAGUAGGGUGGCAGCUUCGGUUGUCGAGGGUCGAUCCAUUUGGGAACUUAAUGUGUACUUCGGUAUGCAUCUCAA
rnacentral:rRNA from 1 species